GGGUUCCCUCAGCCCGCGGGAGCGACCCCUCACAGCGGCACCGCCGGGAAGGGAAAGAGGUUGUAAGGAAUAGCCGUCAUCUGUCCAAAAUCCGUACUGCUGUCGUGGUUUAACCCCGUGCUUAAAGACCCCUGCCUAAAAAUCUUCCUUGUUAACAGUCAAAGGAGAAAGAUCAGACAAGCAAACUACAGAGGUACAGUCUCAGCACACUCUGCCCCACAUUCACUGAUCCAGUUAAGUCAUCUCCUGUGUAUAAGGAAUAAUGCUGGUCCUUCAACUACAGCAAGGAGGAAACUCGCAGGUUUUUUCCUGAGCUAGUGGCUGUAUUAGGAGCGCACAGAUCUGAUACUGUUUUUGAGCACAAGGCUUUACAGCUUUCUUGUAGUUCUAAUGCUACCAAACCCCUGAACUAGGCGCUAGUACCUGCACUAGGGCUGCGUCAGCUCUGCAGUUACUCGGCACAAGGGAAAAACAACCCCGGAGACACGAUCGGCUACGGAUUCGGAGGAAGCAGAGAGCGAUUUUAACCACGUGCACACUGACAUCUGGUGGCAGAAAGGACCUUCCAGCGUGCUGACCCUCCCACGGCCAAGGCACUCGCAAUGGGUAACACGAACCGUGCCGGAUUUUUUUAAUCUUACUCAUUUGCUGACGCUACACAGCAUGAAGAACUAUUUGCUCCAGUUUCUCAGCAUUACCCAUAUUUAUGCCAAUAACCACGCCUAGAACCCAAACGCCAAACAGAUAACAAGUACCACCAGAAACAAAAAGUGUUUGUUUGCAACUUAUUUUACCAAUCAUCUCAAUUCUCAGCUGGUUCACCAUGUAAACUGUAUGGCACCUGUAUUUAUAGGAACGAUAUGUCUCUUCUAGACUGCACAGUCAGCAGUCAUAUGCAAAGUAGCAUCAUUACACAUUUAAAUAUCCAUAUUAGUCCAAGAUGGUCUGAUACUCACUAUUCAAUGGACUGUAAGAAAG